GCGCCGGUAGUGCAACAGCAGCACGCCCACCUUCCGGGUGGGAGGUCCUGGUUCAAAUCCAGGCCGGCGCUCCA
rnacentral:tRNA from 2 species